CAAUAAGCGGAGGAAAAGAAACCAACUGGGAUUGCCUUAGUAACGGCGAGUGAAGCGGCAAUAGCUCAAAUUUGAAAUCUGACGUCUUGGGCGUCCGAAUUGUAAUUUGUAGAGGAAGCCUCGGGCAGAGCGCCGGUCUAAGUUCCUUGGAACAGGAUACCAGAGAGGGUGAGAGUCCCGUAUCUGGCCGGUGGGCUCGCCCGUGUGAGGCUCCUUCGACGAGUCGAGUUGUUUGGGAAUGCAGCUCCAAAUGGGUGGUAAAUUCCAUCUAAAGCUAAAUACUGGCCAGAGACCGAUAGCGCACAAGUAGAGUGAUCGAAAGAUGAAAAGCACUUUGAAAAGAGAGUCAAACAGUACGUGAAAUUGUUGAAAGGGAAGCGUAUACGGCCAGACUUGGUCGCAGAUGCUCAACCCGUCCUCUGGCGGGUGUACUCUUCUGCGGCCAGGCCAGCAUCGGUUUGGGCGGCCGGACAAAGGCGCUGGGAAUGUGGCUCUGCGGAGUGUUAUAGCCCAGCGUGCAAUGCGGCCAGCCCGGACCGAGGAUCGCGUUCGCUAGGAUGCUGGCGUAAUGGCCUUAUACGGCCCGUCUUGAAACACGGACCAAGGAGUCUAAUUGUUAUGCGAGUGUUUGGGUGUCAAGCCCGGGCGCGCAAUGAAAGUGAACGGAGGUGGGAGCCUCGGCGCACCAUCGACCGAUCCCGAUGUUCUCGGAAGGAUUUGAGUAGGAGCAUAGCGAUUGGGACCCGAAAGACAGUGAACUAUGCGUAAAUAGGGUGAAGCCAGAGGAAACUCUGGUGGAGGCUCGCAGCGGUUCUGACGUGCAAAUCGAUCGUCAAAUUUGCGUAUAGGGGCGAAAGACUAAUCGAACUGUCUAGUAGCUGGUUCCUGCCGA
rnacentral:rRNA from 1 species